GGGGGUGUAGGUCAGUGGUAGACCGCUUCUCUCCAAAAGAAGAGACCAGGGUUCGAUUCCUUGCGCCCCCGCCA
rnacentral:tRNA from 2 species